AGUGAACGCUGGCGGUAGGCCUAACACAUGCAAGUCGAACGGCAGCACAGUAAGAGCUUGCUCUUACGGGUGGCGAGUGGCGGACGGGUGAGGAAUACAUCGGAAUCUACUUUUUCGUGGGGGAUAACGUAGGGAAACUUACGCUAAUACCGCAUACGACCUACGGGUGAAAGCAGGGGAUCUUCGGACCUUGCGCGAUUGAAUGAGCCGAUGUCGGAUUAGCUAGUUGGCGGGGUAAAGGCCCACCAAGGCGACGAUCCGUAGCUGGUCUGAGAGGAUGAUCAGCCACACUGGAACUGAGACACGGUCCAGACUCCUACGGGAGGCAGCAGUGGGGAAUAUUGGACAGUGGGCGCAAGCCUGAUCCAGCCAUACCGCGUGGGUGAAGAAGGCCUUCGGGGUGUAAAGCCCUUUUGUUGGGAAAGAAAAGCAGCAGGUUAAUACCCCGCUGUUCUGACGGUACCCAAAGAAUAAGCACCGGCUAACUUCGUG
rnacentral:rRNA from 1 species